UCUUAUAUUGAGAGCAGUGUCGUGGAACCACAGGUAUUUUGGUACAUGUACAGACUCCUGUUUACAUUUAACAAACAAGAAAUAGGAAAAAGAAAUGAAGGGAAUACAUGUCGGAUUGUCAUAUUCAGGCAACUGAUUCCACUCUGAUAUUAUACACUUAAGAAGGGAAAAAACCAAAAAAAAAAAAAAAAAAAAGGGUUCGAGGCAUUGAAAUGGUGGUUUCAAAAGAAAAUGGCCAACUUUCAAUAAUCCCCAUGCAUUUCUGAAUAUCUGCAUAAAUUGGAAGGUUUGGUGAACAACAUGGCUUCAAACUUGUAACUGCAGAAUCUAGUACCUCGGCAACAUCACUUGGUGGAAACUGCCGUUCUGUACAUUUCUGAAUCAUAAGCAAAGUAGCUACACAUUGCGUAAUGAGUUCUGAAGGGAUUUGUGCUUCAUUUUGGUCAGAUAUAUGGUCUAAGUGAGUAUCAGGAGCAUGACUGUUUGCCCCCACAUUUGCUGCACAGGAACCUGACUGAUCCUGAGAAGCCAGGCUACCGUGAACUAAAUUUGCAGUGGUAGAAGUUUGCAUGCCUGGUGUGCUUAAAUCAUCUACUGAAAGUUGAUUAUUUACAAAAUCUAUAGCCUCCUCGAUACUCUCAAAGCUGCUUACUCCCUUCUUCAAAGAUGACAUUGCCUGCAUAGCUGCAUCAACCAUUGUCUGAGCUUUUGCUCUUGAACUUUCAACAAUCUCAGCCACAUGAGAUCCAGAUUCUUGAAUCUCGUCUGCAGAAUGGUCAAAAGAGCAGCAGUGCCCAGCUGGUUCACCUAUACCGAUCAUGGGCUUCAGCCAUACAUGUAGGUUAUUCC
rnacentral:misc_RNA from 1 species